AGCAGUAGCAUUUCCAGUGUGCCUUGAUCUUAUCUGAUCUCGAAAGCACUGCAAGCAUGGACCUGGUCAGUCCUGGGGUGUGAGACCACUACAGAAAACCAGGCCGCUGCUGUUA
rnacentral:rRNA from 1 species